UGGAAAAAACAACACAGUAGGUAAAUUAGGAGAAGGUGACUUUUUCUCUUUUUCUGAAGGUUGGAGCUCUGCCCAUUAUAUUAAGAAGUUGGUUUCAGACUACAAUUCAAGGAUAAUACAUGGAACAAAAAGCAACUGAGCUUUCAC
rnacentral:snoRNA from 17 species